UACGAAGGGAGCUAGCGUUGUUCGGAAUUACUGGGCGUAAAGGGCGCGUAGGCGGUAUCAUAAGUCAGAUGUGAAAGCCCCGGGCUUAACCUGGGAGGUGCAUUUGAAACUAUGGAACUAGAGAUCGAGAGAGGAAAGUGGAAUUACGAGUGUAGAGGUGAAAUUCGUAGAUAUUCGUAAGAACACCGGUGGCGAAGGCGACUUUCUGGCUCGAUACUGACGCUAAGGCGCGAAAGCGUGGGGAGCAAACAGG
rnacentral:rRNA from 1 species